GGAGGUGUGAGCACAGCGAGCAGCAGGGAGCCAGACAAGAGGGGCCGGGGCUGCGCCCUGCAAAGAACUUCAAAGGAGCAUCAUUCCCAGAGGAUUUGUUCAUCGAUGUGUCACAGUCUAGCUACUGAGCCCGUGCACAGGAAGGAAACGGUCAGGUUCAGAGACCAAAACAUCUGUCCCUGUGCAUCUUGUAGAGUUGGGGAACUGGGACUCCUGUGACCCAUGUAGAUACAGUGCUUCCCUCUGACUCGAAGGGUUUGGCCCCCGACCCCGGAACGGCCUGAAGCUUGGACUGUCGGCCCUGCCCUUCUUCUGGGCUGGGAGAAAGGGCAGGCAAGAGGCCUUGGGGGUUGGGGCGGGAGACCGAAGGUGGAGAUGUGCCGCUGUGUACAGCCGACUUGCCUGCCCAUCACCCAAACACCAAGUUCCGCUCGCAGAGGAAGUGAGAGGUGUCCGAUUCGGUCUCCCAGAACGCAGCUGGGCUGCCUGAAACGAGCGCCGCGGCGACUCUGAAGGAGGUGUCAUCCCUGGGCCAGUACAGGAUUGAGUCACAGCAGCCGCCACUCCUGCGUCAAAAAUACUGGGCCAUUGUCCCAGGGAGUUUGGCCCCUCAGUCAAGUCAUUUCCGACCCGCAACCUGGAAUCCCAAUGAAGGAAAAAGGGGAGGAAAAGAAGCGGAAACCAGGAUGGCUAAGCAAGCCGAGGAAGACGAGCCCCGGCCAGCUGGAGUAGCACCUGAGUGUGCGACCCCACCCCCCACUGGGGCAUCUUCUCCUUGGUUACAUUCCAGACCCGGAAGCGAAUCCCGGCUGUAUGGUGUCCAAAGACCUACAAUCUGGGGGCAUUCCUUAAUAAAAAGAAUCCAAGAUUCUGAAAACAAACUUAAGUACAAAAG
rnacentral:lncRNA from 1 species